rnacentral:rRNA from 1 species
CUAUGCGCCUUGCCAGCCCGCUCAGGUGUGCCAGCCGCCGCGGUAAUACGGAGGAUGCGAGCGUUAUCCGGAUUUAUUGGGUUUAAAGGGUGCGUAGGCGGAUUUUAAGUCAGCGGUAAAAUGUCCGGGCUCAACCCGGGCCGGCCGUUGAAACUGGGGAUCUUGAGUGGGCGAGAAGUAUGCGGAAUGCGUGGUGUAGCGGUGAAAUGCAUAGAUAUCACGCAGAACUCCGAUUGCGAAGGCAGCAUACCGGCGCCCAACUGACGCUGAAGCACGAAAGCGUGGGUAUCGAACAGG